rnacentral:SRP_RNA from 1 species
ACUGGCCACCUUUUUGAUGUAACACCAGGAACCCCGCCAGAUCCGGAAGGAAGCAACGGUACUGACUGUUCAGGUGAGAAGUUAUGGCUGGUGCA